rnacentral:rRNA from 1 species
UACGUAGGGUGCGAGCGUUGUCCGAAAUUAUUGGGCGUAAAGAGCUUGUAGGCGGUUUGUCGCGUCUGCUGUGAAAAUCCGGGGCUCAACCCCGGACUUGCAGUGGGUACGGGCAGACUAGAGUGUGGUAGGGGAGACUGGAAUUCCUGGUGUAGCGGUGAAAUGCGCAGAUAUCAGGAGGAACACCGAUGGCGAAGGCAGCUCGCUGGGACGGUACUGACGCUGAGGCGCGAAAGCGUGGGGAGCGAACAGG